CAGUCGCCGCGGUAAUACAGAGGGUGCGAGCGUUAAUCGGAUUUACUGGGCGUAAAGCGUGCGUAGGCGGCUUCUUAAGUCGGAUGUGAAAUCCCUGAGCUUAACUUAGGAAUUGCAUUCGAUACUGGGAAGCUAGAGUAUGGGAGAGGAUGGUAGAAUUCCAGGUGUAGCGGUGAAAUGCGUAGAGAUCUGGAGGAAUACCAAUGGCGAAGGCAGCCAUCUGGCCUAAUACUGACGCUGAGGUACGAAAGCAUGGGGAGCAAACAGGAUUAGAUACCCGCGUAGUCCCUGUCUCUUAUAC
rnacentral:rRNA from 1 species